GACGAACGCUGGCGGCGUGCUUAACACAUGCAAGUCGAACGGAAAGGCCCAGCUUGCUGGGUACUCGAGUGGCGAACGGGUGAGUAACGCGUGGGUGAUCUGCCCUGCACUCUGGGAUAAGCCUGGGAAACUGGGUCUAAUACCGGAUAUGAUCAACUGUCGCCUGGUGGUUGGUGGAAAGCUUUUGCGGUGUGGGAUGGGCCCGCGGCCUAUCAGCUUGUUGGUGGGGUAAUGGCCUACCAAGGCGACGACGGGUAGCCGACCUGAGAGGGGGAUCGGCCACACUGGGACUGAGACACGGCCCAGACUCCUACGGGAGGCAGCAGUGGGGAAUAUUGCACAAUGGGCGCAAGCCUGAUGCAGCGACGCCGCGUGAGGGAUGACGGCCUUCGGGUUGUAAACCUCUUUCACCAGGGACGAAGCGUGAGUGACGGUACCUGGAGAAGAAGCACCGGCCAACUACGUGCCAGCCGCCGCCGUAA
rnacentral:rRNA from 1 species